UACUGACCCUGCUUCUGUGGUCUUCUGUCUCAGCAGGCUGUCAAGUCGGAGACUGAGUGCCUGAGCAGGCGUGGACCAUGAAGGAGAGGAAUCUAACACACCGAGGUUGGAGCUGGGCAGUCUGAGGAAGUCAGAGAUGGCAGGAAGAAAUGCUAAAAAAUCCCUGAAGGAAACACUUAAUUCAGGACGUUGGCUCCUUGAAUUGAAACUCAACCAUCUUUGAAAUCUCCAGACGUAAUCUCCAAGCAGUUCAGUCAAAACCACUAUCACCGUGCUGGAGGAUCUGAUGUCACCUCCAUCAUGGAGGAGAAACCUGAGCCUGACUGCGUUGGACUUUCUGAUCAGUUCACACAAGAGGCCCCAGUUCAAGGCUAACAAUAUCUGACAUGUAAAGUAAACACAGUUUGCAGCCUGUUUGUUGCAACAAGCAGGACUGCAAGCUGAGAAGAGUCCAUGCGCUGGGAUCAUGUGAGCACAGUUCUCCAUUAUGAUUAAUGAGGAAGUUGAAUUGCAGUGCCCCCACUCUGAGAACAGUGACUGUCAAAAGAAUUCAACACAAAAAGCUGUAAAACAGAACAUUAAAACAAGCACUGGGCUGAAAUGUACCUCCAGGGGCAGGGAAGGGGCGGGUGGCGAGGUGAGUUAAUUUGUUUUUAUUUGUAGGUCUCAUUCCAAAAGGCGAUGUUUGGUUUUGCCUCCUGAACUGGUGCUGGAGAAGAGACAUGGCCCAUGAAACAGCGGUGGACCUUACCAAGCAGAACUAGAAGAUAUCUGUCAGAGUUCCAGACAUUGGUUCAUUUCCUCAAGAGAUUCAAGAUUGAAUUACCUCUGGCCAUUUAUCUGUAUGAGUUCCUGUACCAGAAUGUGACUGGAAGACAAUGAAGCAGAAGGAAAAAUUUAACACCGGCACGGCACUGUCUUGGAGCUAAUCGUUUUUCACCAAACACACACAUGUAGCAGCAAAACAUCCUUAAAAUGCACCAUUUCCCUGAUUGCAAAGCAGGAAGCUUAUUUUGUAUGAGGAUUUGGAAGAGGUAGAGCCAGGGACCGGCCGACUUUCAAAGUCAGGAGUUGGUGGAUCUCAGCAGUGGAAAUGUGCUUAUUCAGAUCAGAGAAUAUACAGAGAAUGAGGGUAUCAAUUCCCACACAUCCCCGGAGACUCAAGCAGAAAUAUUGAGCAAUAAAGACAAAGAGAAUAAUUAGAGAAGCUGAAGAUCUCCAUGAAAAGGUUUUUGAUAUGCUGUAGAUCAGACAACAAAGAAAUCGAGAAAGAACAAAGAUUGCACUCCUGUCGCUGGCCUACAGACUCCAAAACCACCUCCCAACAUGUGGUCUUAUGGUGGCUCUGACUGGAGUGAAAAUUUUCCGUAGAAGACUGGUGUCUUGGACAUAAGUAAUUCAAAAAUAGGAGGCAGUGGAAAGGGUCACAUUGGUAAAUGCAAAGGCUGACUCAAUUUGGAACUUGGGUGGCAAGAACAUGAGACUCAAGGUGUAAGUAUAAAUGAACAGAUUUUGAAAAUAUGGAUAUAAAAGAAAAAAUAACACAAAAAAAUGAUCUUGGAGCUGGGACUGCACCAUUGCAAAAAUUUUAACUCGCCAAGAAAGCAGUGAUGUCUGAGAGAACAAGGAGUGAUAGCAAAUGCACAGUUCCAAGGGAACCAUCUGCAAGGAGCUUCCUCCCAACUGAGCAAGGUUACAGAUUGCAGAUUCUGGGCAACUGGUGUGAACUGAGAGGCACUCGGCUAAAGAUAAACCAAAGGCAUUCUUCUUUUGUUCAGAUAACAUGGGAUAUCUUCUCCAGCUUUUGGCAGUACCAAGUGCUAGGUUCUAGGAAUAUAAUGUUUCUCAGAGUAAGUCUGUUAUUUUCUAAAUAUCUUGGUGAUAAUUAUGUGGCUUUAUUUCUAUUGGACUCUAAAAAGAAAAUCAUGGGCACCAGAGUCUUGUUGUCAAACUAAUUUAACUUCCAAAGUCCUGAAGAAAAUUGAACCUAUUCCUGAGAAAACAGCCCAGGUUGCAUCUGCUGAAGGAAAACUAACUCUAUAUUGGCAUCACAUGCCCUUUAGUUAAGUCAGAGAAGAGUAAGAAGCAGGUUUGACAUUGUGGAAGACAGGGCGGUCAUUCCUCAAAGACCUAAACACAGAAAUACCAUUUGACCCAGCAAUCCCAAUACUGGGUAUACACCCAAAGGAAUAUAAGUCAUUCUUUUAUAAAGACACAAGCACAUGUAUGUUCAUUGUAGGACUAUUUACAAUAGCAAAGACAUAGAAUCUACCAAAAUGCCCAUGAAUGACAGACUGGAUAAAGAAAAUGUGGUACACAUACACCAUGGAAUACAAUGCAGCCACAAAAAGAAAUGAGAUCACAUCAUUUGCAGGGACAUGGACGGAGCUGGAGGCCAUUAUCCUUAGCAAACUAACACAGGAACAGAAAACCAAAUACCACAUAUUCUCACUUGUAAGUGGGAGCUAAAUGAUGAGAACAUGUAGACACAUAGAGAGUAACAAUACACACUAGGACCUAUCAGAGGGUGGAGGGUGAGAGGAGGGAGAGGAUCAGGAAAAAUAGUAAUGAGUACUAGGCUUAGUGUCUGGGUGAUGAAAUAAUCUGUAGAACAAACCCCCGUGACACAAUUUUACCUAUGCAACAAACCUGCACUUAUACACCUGAACUUAAAAUAAAAGUUGAAAAUAAAAAAGGCAGGGUGGGAUCCAUUUUAUUAUAUAUGUAUGUAAAUAAAUACAUAUAUAUACAUACACAUACAGUCAUGCAGUGCUUAAUGAUGGGGAUACAUUCUGAGAAAUGCAUCCUAAGGUGAUUUUGUUGUUGUGCGAACAUCAUGGAGUGUACUUACACAAACCUAGAUGGUAGAUGCUACUAUACACUUAGGUCGUAUGGUAUAGCCUAUUGCUCCUAGACUAUAAACCUGUAUAUGACUUCAAGGAAUAUUGUCAGUAAUUGUAACACAAUGGUAUUUAUGUAUCUAAAUAUAGAAAAGGUACAGUAAAAAUACUCGAUGAAAAAUGAAAUAUAGUACACCUGUAUAGCACACUGGUAUACCAUGAAUGGAGCUUACAGGACUGGAAGUUGCUUUGGGUGAGUCUGUGAGUGAGUGGUAGUGAAUGUGAAGGUCUAGGAGAUUACUGUAUACUACUUUAGACUUUAUAAACACUGUACACUUAGGAUACACUAAAUGUAUUUAAAAUAUUUUUCUUCAACAAUAAAUUAACCUUAGCUUACUGUAACUUUUUUACUUUAUAAACUUUCUCACGUUUUUUAACUUUUUGACUUUUUUUGUAAUAACGCUUAGUUUAAAACACUCAUUGUACAGCUGUACAAAAAAUAUUUCUUCUUUAUGUACUUAUUCUAUACACUUUCUUCUUUUUAUUUUAUUUUUUAAUUUUAAAACAUUUUUGUUAAAGACUAAAACACAAACACACACAGUAGCCUGAGACAACACACAGUCAUGGUCAUCAAUAUCACUGUUUUUCUUCUUCACCUCUUGUCCCGCUGUCUUCAGGGGCAAUAACAUGCAUGAACCUGUCAUCUUCUAUGAUAACAAUGCCUUCUUCUGGAAUCCCUCCUACAAGGACCUGCCUGAGGCUGUUUUACAGUUAACAUAUUUUUUGUAAGUAGGAGUAUACUUUAAAAUAACCAUAAAAAUAUAACACAGUAAAUACAUAAACCAGUAACAUAGUAAUUUAUUAUAACAGUCUAGUAUUAUGUACUAUACAUAGUUGCCUGUGCUAGACUUUUGUAAGACUGGCAGAGCAAUAGUUGUGUUUAUACCAGCAUCACCACAAACAUGUGACUAAUGCAUUGUGAUAUGACUACAAAGGCUAAGAAGUCAGCAGGCUAUAGCAAUUUUUCAGCUCCAUUAUAAUCUUAUGGGACUACUUUCAUACAUGUGGUCCAUCCUUGACUGAAACGUCAUUAUGUGGCACAUGACCAUAUACAUAUAUAUAUAUAUAAUCUUACAUUUGCAAAAUUAUCUGUAAUUUGCAAAUAAAAAAGAAUUCGAUGGGGGGUUCUUUUGGACUAUUAUAUAUAAGAAACAAACUUUAACAAGCAAAAGACUACUUGAAUUAACUUCUUUCUGGAAUCCCUAGUUGGGAGAAAUUUUAUUAUUGACUCAUGAGGUUUACAUUCAAACUUUUUGCAGUGCCCUAGUAGGCUACAUUGAAUAAUAUGGCUGGACAUAGUUCGAGGUUAAGAAAGAGAUCAGGGUAUGAAUUUUCAGCUUUGGGUAAAAUACCACCUUAGAGUCCAUUUAUUUAACAUUUUAUUGUGACUCAUUCCAGAGUCUUCUGGGAACAAAAUGUAAAACAGCCACUUGUAGGUCUAGGAGACAACCCAGUGGAGGUAUGGCUGGUAUUGGAAAAGUACAAGAACCUGGACACAAGGCUGUUGUAAAAAAAAAUGCUGCUCUCCUUCCCUGAGUGGGUAGCGGCUUAUUGACUGAUGAUGAGUGCAAUGUCUAGACACAAAGGGUUAAGACCUCAGAAACCUGGGGGAAAAUUAUGGGGGAAUAGUUCUUUCCAGCCCCUGAAGUUUCCCCCGAUAUAAACACUUCUGUCUUUUUCUAACCUUUAAUCACUAUUUUACCAGAAGUAAUAAGAUGAUUCAUCGAACUAGUAAAUUUGAGGACAAUAAUUUGGGUGUACUGACUUCAGCUCUUCCUUUUUUCUUUUAUUUACUUCUUCUUCUCCUCCUCUCCCAUCAAAAAGUCAGUAGGUGACGUACCUCCAUGCCCGAUGUGUAACCUUUGUGGUCUUUGCAUUUCAGGUCUGGUCUGGCAUGUGCAGGUGGUUAAGUGUCUCAGUCUCAUAUUUACUUGGUAGGUUUAUUUGGCUCAGACACUAAGCUACAUCAUCUCACUUAGUAGUUAUCAUGAAUCAAGGUGAAAAUUUUGACCCCAUCUGCUUCUUUUUUUCACACUUUCUCAACAUUUUUAGAACAUGGAUGGGAAAGAGGGAUGCUAUUUAUUAAGCCUGCUGAUUUCCUAGAAAACUGACAUGAAUCCCAUUUGGCAGAUGAAAAGAUUGAGUCUUUUGAGUGUGAACAAGUCAACCAAGUUCACGUCAUUAGCAAAGGAAAGGGGCCCAUAUUUGAAGCCACCUGUCUGGUUCUAUAACCUACCCUUAUAGCCAUCUUGCUGAUUUUUUGUUCUUUUCUUGUUCCUGGGUUGAACACAUACUUUAUUUCCUCAUUAAUGAAAUCAGAUUCUUUCUUUCAACGAAUUAAGUACUUAUUUGGUAACAAAACGAACUAGAAUGCGUAGAAGGUCUCAGAAUCCAUUGCUCUUCUAAGCUAAUGUUAACUCAAACAGAGAUUGAGAAAUGGAAAGAGGGAACAGGAAGAAAAGAGCAAAAGAAGAAACUUGGGAGCUGGAGAAGAGGACGUUUGGGAGGAUGGGGUUAUUGCAAAUGUCUAUUUAUGCUUCUAACUCCCUAUGGUGAGGAAAUGAUCAUGAAAAAUGACAACAAUUUCUCUUCAAGUAACUUGUGUGGUAAAAGUGGAAAAAAUAAGGGGCUUGGUUAAGUAUUAUGUAUGUUGUUAAUUACCACACACACACAAACACACACACACACAUAUACAUAUAUACACACACACACACACACACACACACACGCAUAAUUAUUUUUUAUACAGGGUCUCACACUGCCACCCAGACUGGAGUGCAGUGGCAUGAUCUCUGCUCACUUCGGCCUCCACUUCCUGGGUUCAAGUGAUUCUCAUGCCUCAGCCUCCUGAGUAGCUGGGACUACAGGCAUGCAUCAUCACGCCUGGAUAAUUUUUUGUAUUUUUUGGUACAGAUGGG
rnacentral:lncRNA from 10 species